GCUGCUGUGGUUCAGUGGUAGAAUCCUUGCCUGCUAUGCAGGAGACCUAGGUUUGAUUCCCAGAUGCA
rfam:Alligator sinensis unplaced genomic scaffold scaffold73_1, whole genome shotgun sequence